rnacentral:rRNA from 1 species
UUAAGCGACUAAGCGUACACGGUGGAUGCCCUGGCAGUCAGAGGCGAUGAAGGACGUGCUAAUCUGCGAUAAGCGUCGGUAAGGUGAUAUGAACCGUUAUAACCGGCGAUUUCCGAAUGGGGAAACCCAGUGUGUUUCGACACACUAUCAUUAACUGAAUCCAUAGGUUAAUGAGGCGAACCGGGGGAACUGAAACAUCUAAGUACCCCGAGGAAAAGAAAUCAACCGAGAUUCCCCCAGUAGCGGCGAGCGAACGGGGAGGAGCCCAGAGUCUGAAUCAGUGUGUGUGUUAGUGGAAGCGUCUGGAAAGGCGCGCGAUACAGGGUGACAGCCCCGUACACAAAAAUGCACAUACUGUGAGCUCGAUGAGUAGGGCGGGACACGUGGUAUCCUGUCUGAAUAUGGGGGGACCAUCCUCCAAGGCUAAAUACUCCUGACUGACCGAUAGUGAACCAGUACCGUGAGGGAAAGGCGAAAAGAACCCCGGCGAGGGGAGUGAAAAAGAACCUGAAACCGUGUACGUACAAGCAGUGGGAGCCUCUUUUAUGGGGUGACUGCGUACCUUUUGUAUAAUGGGUCAGCGACUUAUAUUCUGUAGCAAGGUUAACCGAAUAGGGGAGCCGAAGGGAAACCGAGUCUUAACUGGGCGUUAAGUUGCAGGGUAUAGACCCGAAACCCGGUGAUCUAGCCAUGGGCAGGUUGAAGGUUGGGUAACACUAACUGGAGGACCGAACCGACUAAUGUUGAAAAAUUAGCGGAUGACUUGUGGCUGGGGGUGAAAGGCCAAUCAAACCGGGAGAUAGCUGGUUCUCCCCGAAAGCUAUUUAGGUAGCGCCUCGUGAAUUCAUCUCCGGGGGUAGAGCACUGUUUCGGCAAGGGGGUCAUCCCGACUUACCAACCCGAUGCAAACUGCGAAUACCGGAGAAUGUUAUCACGGGAGACACACGGCGGGUGCUAACGUCCGUCGUGAAGAGGGAAACAACCCAGACCGCCAGCUAAGGUCCCAAAGUCAUGGUUAAGUGGGAAACGAUGUGGGAAGGCCCAGACAGCCAGGAUGUUGGCUUAGAAGCAGCCAUCAUUUAAAGAAAGCGUAAUAGCUCACUGGUCGAGUCGGCCUGCGCGGAAGAUGUAACGGGGCUAAACCAUGCACCGAAGCUGCGGCAGCGACGCUUAUGCGUUGUUGGGUAGGGGAGCGUUCUGUAAGCCUGUGAAGGUGUGCUGUGAGGCAUGCUGGAGGUAUCAGAAGUGCGAAUGCUGACAUAAGUAACGAUAAAGCGGGUGAAAAGCCCGCUCGCCGGAAGACCAAGGGUUCCUGUCCAACGUUAAUCGGGGCAGGGUGAGUCGACCCCUAAGGCGAGGCCGAAAGGCGUAGUCGAUGGGAAACAGGUUAAUAUUCCUGUACUUGGUGUUACUGCGAAGGGGGGACGGAGAAGGCUAUGUUGGCCGGGCGACGGUUGUCCCGGUUUAAGCGUGUAGGCUGGUUUUCCAGGCAAAUCCGGAAAAUCAAGGCUGAGGCGUGAUGACGAGGCACUACGGUGCUGAAGCAACAAAUGCCCUGCUUCCAGGAAAAGCCUCUAAGCAUCAGGUAACAUCAAAUCGUACCCCAAACCGACACAGGUGGUCAGGUAGAGAAUACCAAGGCGCUUGAGAGAACUCGGGUGAAGGAACUAGGCAAAAUGGUGCCGUAACUUCGGGAGAAGGCACGCUGAUAUGUAGGUGAAGUCCCUUGCGGAUGGAGCUGAAAUCAGUCGAAGAUACCAGCUGGCUGCAACUGUUUAUUAAAAACACAGCACUGUGCAAACACGAAAGUGGACGUAUACGGUGUGACGCCUGCCCGGUGCCGGAAGGUUAAUUGAUGGGGUCAGCGCAAGCGAAGCUCUUGAUCGAAGCCCCGGUAAACGGCGGCCGUAACUAUAACGGUCCUAAGGUAGCGAAAUUCCUUGUCGGGUAAGUUCCGACCUGCACGAAUGGCGUAAUGAUGGCCAGGCUGUCUCCACCCGAGACUCAGUGAAAUUGAACUCGCUGUGAAGAUGCAGUGUACCCGCGGCAAGACGGAAAGACCCCGUGAACCUUUACUAUAGCUUGACACUGAACAUUGAGCCUUGAUGUGUAGGAUAGGUGGGAGGCUUAGAAGUGUGGACGCCAGUCUGCAUGGAGCCGACCUUGAAAUACCACCCUUUAAUGUUUGAUGUUCUAACGUUGGCCCCUAAUCGGGGUUGCGGACAGUGUCUGGUGGGUAGUUUGACUGGGGCGGUCUCCUCCUAAAGAGUAACGGAGGAGCACGAAGGUUGGCUAAUCCUGGUCGGACAUCAGGAGGUUAGUGCAAUGGCAUAAGCCAGCUUGACUGCGAGCGUGACGGCGCGAGCAGGUGCGAAAGCAGGUCAUAGUGAUCCGGUGGUUCUGAAUGGAAGGGCCAUCGCUCAACGGAUAAAAGGUACUCCGGGGAUAACAGGCUGAUACCGCCCAAGAGUUCAUAUCGACGGCGGUGUUUGGCACCUCGAUGUCGGCUCAUCACAUCCUGGGGCUGAAGUAGGUCCCAAGGGUAUGGCUGUUCGCCAUUUAAAGUGGUACGCGAGCUGGGUUUAGAACGUCGUGAGACAGUUCGGUCCCUAUCUGCCGUGGGCGCUGGAGAACUGAGGGGGGCUGCUCCUAGUACGAGAGGACCGGAGUGGACGCAUCACUGGUGUUCGGGUUGUCAUGCCAAUGGCACUGCCCGGUAGCUAAAUGCGGAAGAGAUAAGUGCUGAAAGCAUCUAAGCACGAAACUUGCCCCGAGAUGAGUUCUCCCUGACCCUUUAAGGGUCCUGAAGGAACGUUGAAGACGACGACGUUGAUAGGCCGGGUGUGUAAGCGCAGCGAUGCGUUGAGCUAACCGGUACUAAUGAACCGUGAGGCUUAACCUU